rnacentral:rRNA from 1 species
GAAUUUUGGACAAUGGGCGAAAGCCUGAACCAGCCAAGCCGCCUGCAGGGAGAAGGCCUUCGGGUUGUAAAAUGCUUUUGUACGGAACGAAAAGCUUUGGGUUAAUACCCCGGAUGCAUGACGGUACCGGAAGAAUAAGCACCGGCUACAUGCGAGCACGCCGCCUCGGUACUACGUAGGGUGCAAGCGUUAAUGGGAAUUAAUGGGCGUAAAGCGUGCUCAGGCGGUUUUGUAAGACAGAGGUGAAAUCCCCGGGCUCAACCUGGGAACUGCCUUUGUGACCGCAAGGCUAGAGUACGGCAGAGGGGGGUGGAAUUCCGCGUGUAGCAGUGAAAUGCGUAGAUAUGCGGAGGAACACCGAUGGCGAAGGCAACCCCCUGGGCCUGUACUGACGCUCAUGCACGAAAGCGUGGGGAGCAAACA